GCGCCUGUAGCUCAGGGGACAGAGCAGUGGACUUCUAAUCCAUUAGUCGGGGGUUCGAAUCCUCCCAGGCGCACCA
rnacentral:tRNA from 1 species